rnacentral:ncRNA from 12 species
AGAUAUUGAGGUCGGAAAUGGCUCCCAGCACUCCCGCAGGGGAGUUUGAGAUGCAGGAUACGCCGUUCUGCUGAUGUCA